rnacentral:rRNA from 1 species
AAUCAACGCUGGCGGCGUGCCUCAGACAUGCAAGUCGAACGCGAAAGUCCCCUUCGGGGGACGAAGUAGAGUGGCGCACGGGUGAGUAACACGUAGGUAAUCUACCUUCGGAUGGGGAAGUAACAACCGGAAACGGUUGCUAAUACCGCAUAAUGCAGCGGCACCUAAUGGUGACAGUUGUUAAAGCGGGGGAGUCGAAAGACCCCGCGUCUGAAGAGGAGCCUGCGGCGGAUUAGCUAGNGGUUAAGGUAAUGGCUUACCAAGGCGACGAUCCGUAGCCGGCCUGAGAGGGCGGUCGGCCACACUGACACUGACAUACGGGUCAGACUCCUACGGGAGGCAGCAGUCGGG